rnacentral:rRNA from 1 species
UACCAGCACCCCGAGUGGUCGGGACGUUUAUUGGGCCUAAAGCAUCCGUAGCCGGUUCUACAAGUCUUCCGUUAAAUCCAACUGCUUAACAGGUGGGCUGCGGAAGAUACUAUAGAGCUAGGAGGCGGGAGAGGCAAAGCGGUACUCGAUGGGUAGGGGUAAAAAUCCGUUGAUCCAUUGAAGACCACCAGUGGCGAAGGCGGCUUGCCAGAACGCGCUCGACGGUGAGGGAUGAAAGCUGGGGGGAGCAAACCGGAUU